rnacentral:lncRNA from 1 species
UUAAUGGAAAAUAAAAUUUUAGUUAUAAAAAUUCAAUCAUAAGUGAAGUGACAGUUGAAGACAAAUAAAAGAAACAUGCGACAUACAAAAGAGUUAAGUAAAGGAGAGUGUAAUGGGCCAAAAUUGCCCGGACCCAUCAGAAACUAAAAUCAAAAUAAAUAAUAAUAACAGUCCAUUUCAUUAAAAGGACCAAGCAAAAUACAAGCCCAAACUUAAAACCUAGCCUAGAAAAAUAGCCCAAAACAUAAAACAACAAAAAAUCCUAGUAGCUUAGGGUGUCGCGCCUCCAUGUGCGCCCUUGGCACGCACGGUGCCCAAGGUUCAGCCUCUGUUUCACCGAAAUGACAGUCUACAGCCUCGUUGACCCCUUGUGCGCCUGCAAAAGAAAGCAAAAAAGGGAAACAAAGCAAGACAACAGAGCAAAAGGCGAAAACAGAGCAGAAACAAAGAAAGGAAACAACAAAGGCAUAGGCAAUAGAAAUAAUAUUAAAUCAAAUGUGUAUUCGGCUAUAUAGCCAGAGGAACAAAAAAUGAAAUUUUCACGAACACUUUCAAUAGCAAUACAAGAAUCAGAUUCAAAGUAAAAAAGGUGCAUUUUGUUUUCAUUUAUUUCUUUGUUUUUAGAAGUACAAAAAAAAGCAAUAAUAACAAUAAAAAUCCUACCUUGGCGCGUCACCUGUCGUUGAAUGGGUCUCCAGUAGCCUGAACUUCAUGAAACCCGUUCGAGUUCCGACGAAGGUCGGAGAAGCCACGAAAAUGAAGGCAUUUUUUCCAUGAUUUACAUCUUUCUCUCUUAAUACCGUUUUAAAUCCCCUAGAUCUAGUUUUCUUUUAGAUUUUUUUAAGGGGAAAAGGUUUGGAAAGGGCCUAAAAGGGAGCCGGAUCUGUGCGCCCUUAACCACCGUUCACGGCGGAGCCACGACGAGGCCACGGCGGUGAGCCAUUGAACCCCUUGUAGCCAAUCUCAAACCUUUUUCAGAGAGAAAUGGGGAAAGCAAAUUUUUUUUUAAGAGCAUGGAUUAAAUGAAUUUUUUUAAAAAAAAUUUAGAUUUAUAUGGCUUGAAACGGUAUUGUUUCUAUACCCUAAUUCUGGUACCAUGCCUGAGAUUCGACCCGAAACCCGCCUAGGAUCCGCGUGCUUUUGGACUGCGGUUCUAUUUUGGCCCUCAGUCCCUCCGCUUUUGAGGUGGUUAUUAAUGUGGUCCUUAUCUCGGUCUUUUUUUUAUUUUCUGAAUUCACCCCUGUAUUUUCUUUACUAUUUCAUUCUGGUCCCUGAUGAAAAUGCGCGUUUUGGGGGAUGGAUUUAUUACCCACCUGGUCCCCCAUCUCAUCCGCGCGUCACAAUUUGGGCUUAACAUUUUAUUUUCAUUCCAUUUUGUGCCUUUUAAUUCUGUUU